CCAAGCCUAAGACAGCUUGGCCCAAGUUCCUUGAAUUCUGACAGAAUAUAACAGAAAUGCCUGCUCUGCACUAUGGAGGAAAGCUGUCAUCUUUUAAUUUGUUCUCAAAUUUCACUAGGAUGAGAUAUUUUGACACUGUGCAUCAAACAUAUAUGAACAGCCAUGUGACAGACUUUCUUCUCUACAGGAAGAAUGGUGCUCCUCCAUCACAGCUACAUUCCAGAUAAGAACACAAUUACUCCUAACUUCAGAAGGCCCAUUUUUUAUGGACAAAUGAUUGUUCCUUGCCUGAAUUAGUUAGAAUUUUUUGAGAGUCUGGAGUGGCAGAUGUUUCAUAGAGAGAAAGGAAAAACAAAGCUUGAAAACUUCUGUAGGCCUGAGAGUGUUAGCCAUCAACCUGUGACAUUUUUUUAUAAAACAUAGCAAAAAUUGAAGCCAGUGGUAUCUUUUUUGGGGGUGUUGGGGAGAGGAACAUGAUAGUAGGAAAGCUGCUUUGAAUUAGACUGCGUUUCUCUUAGAUAAACCAGAAAUAUUUUUUAAAUUCUCUAAAUGUGCUAACCUUUCCUCAUUUGUAGUAAAACCAGAAAGUUGUUAUCGGCACACAUGAAUAACUAGCACAGGCCAUGUAUAAUUUAUUAUAGGCAUAGGCAAAAGCACAUCACCAAAGUGAAUGUAAUAUUUAAACACUUUAAGAUAUCUAUACUACAGUACAUGCAAGACGUAAUUUAUUUUACAGCACAAUACUUUCUUCUUUUCCAUUAAAACUUUAAUUAGUGGGUGAUGCAAGGAUUGUUUAUUUGUUUUUCUUUUGAUUUUUAAUUUUAUUUUCACUCGGUCAUUCAGAGUUUUAUUCAACAGAUCCACAUCCUCAGAGUACUGUAAAACAAGGAAAUGCUGUAGACACUGCUAGGAUGAGAGGAGAAUGAUUCAGGCAAAAUGAGAGUCUUUGAAUGCAAACAGUGCAAAGCAGAACAGUGGAUCAGUUCUUGUAUGAAAUAUAUGUGCCAAAAUGUAGCAAAGAAGAGAUUCAGAUUCCAAUAAUGGAAAGUUUUGGAAUAGAAGGGAUUGAGAGACACUGCCAUAGUUUGCUCAAAAAUGAGACAGAGCAUUUUCAUUACUCCUGAAGGCUUUUAUUCAAGACAUACAAAAGAAAUUAAGACAUGCCUCAACAUUCCCAAAGAGUACAAAUUCUGAAGAACACACUUUGAAGUCCAUAAAGCUCACUGUAAGUCCAUGCUUUCCACAUAUCUCAUAUGAAUGCACCUGGGUGUCUUUGUCGGCUCUAUUAUGGAUGCAAACAUGCCCUCUUGAUUAGAUCAGUAGUUUCCAAAUUGUUGGCACCUUUUUUUUUUUUUUUGACAUUUUACCUUGGCAUUGGCUUUCC
rnacentral:lncRNA from 1 species